AGUUAAGAAGCUUUAAGAUAAGCAAGUGCCUUGAAAUCACAAGAAAGAAGUUUAAGUCUUCUAUUAACUU
rnacentral:tRNA from 1 species